GAAGUAAAAGUCGUAAACAAGGUUUCCGUAGGUGAACCUGCGGAAGGAUCAUUACAGAAAUAGGAGAAGGUUGCUUAACUGCAAUCCUCUUCUUUCUACACAUGUGUUUUUCUUUUUUUUGAAAACUUUGCUUUGGUGGGCCCACGGCCUGCCAGAGAUUAAACUCAACCAAAUUUUUAUUUAAUUGUCAACUUGAUUAACUAAUAGUCAAAACUUUCAACAACGGAUCUCUUGGUUCUCGCAUCGAUGAAGAACGCAGCGAAAUGCGAUAAGUAAUAUGAAUUGCAGAUAUUCGUGAAUCAUCGAAUCUUUGAACGCACAUUGCGCCCUUUGGUAUUCCAAAGGGCAUGCCUGUUUGAGCGUCAUUUCUCCCUCAAACCUUCGGGUUUGGUGUUGAGCGAUACGCUGGGUUUGCUUGAAAGAAAGGCGGAGUAUAAACUAAUGGAUAGGUUUUUUUUCCACUCAUUGGUACAAACUCCAAACAUUCUUCCAAAUUCGACCUCAAAUCAGGUAGGACUACCCGCUGAACUUAAGCAUAUCAAUAAGCGGAGGAAAAGAAACCAACAGGGAUUGCCUUAGUAACG
rnacentral:rRNA from 1 species